rnacentral:sRNA from 1 species
AAAAUGCUUAACUUAUCUUUUGAAGUUCAUGAAAAUUACAGAGUCAGAAGUCCCUAAGUGUGACUGGGCUUUUUUUUUGACAGGCUGAGCGGCUCUUGUUAAAUAUUUUUUUUGUGCAAAAAACUAAGAACAAGAGCUGCCCUCCUCGCAGAACUGCCAAAUAAACGGAAAGCCGGAAAUAAACAAAUUACUACUACUAAAUGCAUAUAAUGCUUUACUUAUUUAAUUAGAGUUAUUCUAAAUAUUGUUAUGUAUUCUUAAUUAUAGGCGAUUGUUAUUAUUUAAAGGUAGCUGCCACGCGCAGGCGGCUAUGAUAUAAACUUAUUUAUUUUCGAAAUUGUUCAUAUAUUAAUUUAUCUGCCCUCUGCGUCUGUGUUAUUAAAUCCUUUUCGCGUUGUCAGCCUGCAAAAAAAAUGUAUAAAAUUGUUAAUAAUUUGAAGUGUUAAUCUAUUAAACGUAUUUGUAUGGCCAUGUCGACAAGGAUAUCUUAAGAAGACGCCGAAAGUUCAACAGUGACCCAAGGCGAUGGCGAAUUCAGUAAAUGUUUGUGGCGACAUCUAUUCCUCAGAUGCUUCUGACCGAGCACAAGAAAUUCUACAUUGCCGUCAAGUUGCCAGAAUGCGAGUAAGCUUAACAUAGCCUACAAUAUUAUUGUAUUGUUGUACACUCCACAGAAGAUGAGACAAUUUGAAAUUUCCUAAUAUACACGGUUGAAAGAGCCCACGCUUGUGAUCUGUGUCGCAAAGGUCCUAUAGACGCCUAUAAGACGCCUGUAAGGCACGAAAAGUGCGCACCCUUGAAGCCUUGGAUAUGGAAACGACAGGACGUAUUGAGGAUGACGUUAUUGUUAUUAUAUGAUGGUUAUUGGCCUUUUGCUGUUGGCUUAGGCCUUGUACAAAUAGUCUCAGACUUAGUUUUUAUUUGAAAAUAUUUAAUAUGUUUUGUUCUAAAUAUUUUUUGACUCACAAAAUGAAAAAUAUAAGCGAAAUUAUUUUUGAAUGUGAGAUGUAAAUUAACGCUAAGAUGGUGUUGUAGGAAACUCUACCAAGUGUGGUAAAAUCACGAAAAAGGGUUGUAUAGUAGUCUGAUUGACUCAAUUUGAAAAUAUCUAAAUUAUAUAUCACAUUUAAAUGUCAGGUUCAUUGUAGUGCGGGUAGGUAUUAAUUUUCAACG